rnacentral:rRNA from 1 species
UGGGGAAUAUUGGACAAUGGGCGAAAGCCUGAUCCAGCCAUGCCGCGUGUGUGAAGAAGGUCUUCGGAUUGUAAAGCACUUUAAGUUGGGAGGAAGGGCAGUAAGCGAAUACCUUGCUGUUUUGACGUUACCGACAGAAUAAGCACCGGCUAACUCUGUGCCAGCAGCCGCGGUAAAACAGAGGGUGCAAGCGUUAAUCGGAAUUACUGGGCGUAAAGCGCGCGUAGGUGGUUCGUUAAGUUGAAUGUGAAAGCCCCGGGCUCAACCUGGGAACUGCAUCCAAAACUGGCGAGCUAGAGUAGGGCAGAGGGUGGUGGAAUUUCCUGUGUAGCGGUGAAAUGCGUAGAUAUAGGAAGGAACACCAGUGGCGAAGGCGACCACCUGGGCUCAUACUGACACUGAGGUGCGAAAGCGUGGGGAGCAAACAGG